CCAACUGCGGUAUCCAUGGGAACCAGAAACACUUUACGCCUCUGUUUAAUGCCAUUGUGCAAGGUUAAAGAAACACGCUCUUCAUAAAAAGGUGGCAGCCACAAGACUAAGCAAGAAUUCAGAAUCAAGAACUCUGGGGGAAAAAAAACCCAGCAGCAGUGACACUAACCUACAAGAGGACAGGAGAAAGCCAGAAAACUUACAAUGCAGGUGAAAGGCAGGAUCUUGACAGAACCACACAGAUUACCUUUGGGAACUUGGCCAGGAUACAAGAACAGACUUGGCUAGAGGAGCAUGCAAACUGCAUUAUUGUGGGUGUCCGUGCAACUCCUAUCCCUCCACAAAAGGUAAAAGAGAAAUACAGAAAAAAAGUGGGUUGUUGUACAUAACCUAGAGACUAAAUAUUGUGCAAUGUGUUAUGUAACUUGUUAUGUAAGGAUUAUUAAAACACAACAAAGAAUUAAGCAAAAAUACCUUAUGUUUUGGGCUUCUGUACCAGCCCUAGGCCACCACAGCAGUAAAGAUCUGUGCCUUCAAAGAUGCCCCAAGUAGCUCCCCAUCCUUCUUUUCUGCCGAUGCACUGCACAUGGUCAGUUACCUGAGUAUAUGUGCAAUAUAGGCAUUCAUGAUACAAGGAUAAAUAGUAAUAAUUCCUAUUUACAUUGUGUGGCAUAUAAAUCAAUGUAUUAUGCAUCAGAAUUGAUUAACCAUGAAACCUAUAGCAUCAGAUUCUAUGACAGAAGCAAACUUGUGUCUUUACCUCUGCCACAAUGGACACACACAAUGCCAUCCUAACUUUGGCAAAGAGGGUGUUUCAGGUCAAAACACCAAGUUCAUUCCAGGAAGCAGACUUCCAAUUCUUUACUGUACCCAUCCUUGCCUGCUCAUAUCCCAGGCAUUAUUGGUCAAAUCACUGUUCACGUCAGGCCUUCACCACUCUCUCAUCAGCACUCACUAAAAACAUUAUACUGCUGUUAAUUUACCAGCCACACUAUUUCAGUGCAUGGGCCUAGGGUCUGGUCUAGCUCUAGCAGUACAGACUCAUGGGUCUGUUUAUGCCCCACCCAAAGAGCUGAAAUGCAAAUUCUAUGCAUAGUGCAAUGAGUUUAUAAACCCCCUGUAUGCUAGGUUUGCCCAGCCUAAUUUUUGUCUGAUCAUGCAUUAGUUGUGUUUUAUAAAUGCUGGCCAGCUGCUUUACAUCUUGGCUUAUGCAACAGAAUGAAUACUUAUUUGAUGGAUAAGUCAGUUCUUGCAGGUUCCUUUAUAUUAUUCUUAUCUGUCCUCAACACACAGCUGAGUCAGCGUGCUGUAUAGCUAAGGAGAAGUGUGUUGGUCUAUUGUUUUAGCUUAUGAAAUGUGUGCUAUUAUGUAAUGUCAUAAUUCAGUACAAAAGUCAAUGAGAGACACACUAAACUAACCUGUCCAUUCACACUAGAUAAGGCUUUUCUUUGCCUUUUUUUCUGUGUUACCACUUAACAAAUGAACAUAUUCCAAGUUAAUUUCUGGUACACAGCCCAUUUAAUUAAAUUACAGCUACAAAGGAUACACUAAGGAAAUGCUAUUUUAUUUAAUAAUGGGACUAAAUUCUGUGUAAAAAGUGCCAAAAAAGACAACAAUUUGGCCUUUUUUUCUUAUGGUACACUGUUUUUUUACAGAUUACCAGCAUCAUUGUGAUGUAAAACUCAAUAGACAACACAGCAGGUGCAUCAUUAUACCAUAUUUGUGAAGGAAAAUGUAGACUCUACAGAACUGACAUUAAAGUACUAUCAUGCCCCUUAGAAUAUACAUUUGCCAAGCCCAAAGCAGUUAAAGUAUAGGCAUACCCUAUUCCUGCUAGGUAAUGACAUGUAUAACUACAGAUGUUCCAUAGGCACCCCCAGGGAGCACAAAGGUAAUAAAAUGCAUUUGUUACCUCCACCUACAUAAGCAAAUCCCUUCUUAACCUGGAACCUUAAUUGAGCCAUUGAUUUGAAGGAUUAUCCUAGGGCUAGAAGAAAGUCAAUUUUUUGUUAUACUUUUGUGUUAACUUUUCAUCGUUAUCAAUUCUAACGUGUCUAGGAAAUCCUUUGGUAGACCAAGAAUCACAUUAAUUAAAGGGUUUGUAAAGCCAUCCUGCUAUGUUGAUGGAUUGUAUUAGAAUCCCUACCAAUAAAAUACAAUAUACAUUUCAUUGCUGACAUACUACAUAUUGCACUGGUUUCUAAAUUUAGGCAUUUUAUACGGCAGAUGUUUAAUUUCAUGGGGAAUCCACUUCAAGAAAAACUUGUAAUGAAAUCCACAUGCUGCAAAUUUAACUAGUACUAGAUAUUUGGAUUUUAAGCGUAAACCAGGAAAACAUAAGCUUGAGAUGACCGAAAGGGUUACAUUAUCAUUGUGUAAAAGUGAUGAUGUACAGGUAUAGGACCUGUUAUACAGAAUGCUCAGGACCAAGGGUAU